rnacentral:rRNA from 1 species
UACGUAGGGUGCAAGCGUUGUCCGGAAUUAUUGGGCGUAAAGAGCUCGUAGGCGGUCUGUCGCGUCUGCUGUGAAAAUCCAGGGCUCAACCCUGGACCUGCAGUGGGUACGGGCAGACUAGAGUGCGGUAGGGGAGAUCGGAAUUCCUGGUGUAGCGGUGAAAUGCGCAGAUAUCAGGAAGAACAUCGGUGGCGAAGGCGCUCUGCUGGACCAUAACUGACACUCAGGGACGAAAGCUAGGGGAGCGAAUGGG